CCGACACUUUACUUUCUCCUUCUCUUUCUCGAAAACUCCCUUUCUCCAUCUCUUCAAUUUUGUCAAGUUGAACUCAAGCCUGCAAGCCUCCUCAAGCAAACGAUUCAACAGAGACUUUGGAUUUUGAUUUCCGCAAGCCUCAAGCAGAUUGUUCAACAGAUUUCUCAAGCCUCAAGCAGAAGUUCUACACCGACCUUCAUCUGCAGAGCUAAUUUUUUUUCAGGUUUGACAGAGGACCAUUCUAUUAUUAAUAUUGAAGAUUGAUGAUUCUUGAAGAUUGUGCUCCUUAAUGUGUUGUAGAAGGUUGAGGUUGAUAAAACAUUUUAGGGAUUGUAAUUUUUCUUGAAAUUUUAUUGUAUUUGUUGACAUUCAAGUUGUUGACACAAGUCUGAACUAUUGAGAAUUGAAUAUGCUAUUGUCUUUGUCUAGUUUGAAACGAA